AAGCAACACUGUAGCAGAUCGUCAGAACUAUCUGAUGCAAUUUGAGCUCGCUGUAGCAAGAAAGUCCCACCUAUUCUGGUGCUCUCUCCUCUGAGACAAGCCGUUCUAUAGACUUCACAGU